rnacentral:lncRNA from 1 species
UGAGGUGUAAUUUAUGCUGCCAUAGUGAAUCAAGCAUGGAGCUCUUUUGCUGGACUGUGAAAGGAGUUGGUGGGUGUUGACAAAUUGGCAAGUGUACCAAAUCGUACAAGUAAUAUAAAUGGUAAGACCAAGUAUUGUUUUUCCCAAGAGACUCGUAUGGCUUUAUCGUUCGCGUGAAUUAAAAUAAUAAGACUUGAAAAAUAAAAUUUAAUAAAUUGGGUUGGAGGAUAAAAAUAUUAACAUGCAAAAGUAAAGUUGAUUCAAUUGACAAACGAAAACAAUGGAUGGAUGGAUGUUGUUGGGUACUAAAAAUUUUAACUAUUCCACUCUCUCUUACAUACUACCCUUGACUAUUAGAUUGAUUAAUUGUUAUGCGACUUUCUAAGCCUCCCCUAAACCUGAUCCCUCGACGAAAAGGGCCUAAUAUUAACUACNNN